UCGGAAGGGCGGAGAAUCGCUCUUGCUUCGGCAGGAGAGGAAAGUCCGAACACCACCGGGCACGGUGCCGUGUAACCCCGUUUCGGCGGGGAUAUAUGCGGGCGGCAAGUCGAGAGGCUCGUUGACGGAAAGUGCUGAAGAAAAUUAGACCGCCCGUGGUUCGCCACGGGUAAGGGUGAGAAGGUGCGGUAAGAGCGCACCGCUCGAAGCGCAAGCAACGAGGCAUGGUAAACCCCACCGGGUGCAAGGCCAAAUAGGGGACAAUAGGGCUGCUCGUCCUGUCCCGGGUAACGGCCGCACAGUCAAAUGGUUCUCGUCCCGCAAGGGAAACAGAAUUCGGCUUACAGCCCUUCCGAAAUC
rnacentral:RNase_P_RNA from 1 species